rnacentral:rRNA from 1 species
CUGCGGGGAUUCUAUACAUGCAAGUAGAACGCUGAAGAGAGGAGCUUGCUCUUCUUGGAUGAGUUGCGAACGGGUGAGUAACGCGUAGGUAACCUGCCUUGUAGCGGGGGAUAACUAUUGGAAACGAUAGCUAAUACCGCAUAACAAUGGAUGACACAUGUCAUUUAUUUGAAAGGGGCAAUUGCUCCACUACAAGAUGGACCUGCGUUGUAUUAGCUAGUAGGUGAGGUAAUGGCUCACCUAGGCGACGAUACAUAGCCGACCUGAGAGGGUGAUCGGCCACACUGGGACUGAGACACGGCCCAGACUCCUACGGGAGGCAGCAGUAGGGAAUCUUCGGCAAUGGGGGCAACCCUGACCGAGCAACGCCGCGUGAGUGAAGAAGGUUUUCGGAUCGUAAAGCUCUGUUGUAAGUCAAGAACGGGUGUGAGAGUGGAAAGUUCACACUGUGACGGUAGCUUACCAGAAAGGGACGGCUAACUACGUGCCAGCAGCCGCGGUAAUACGUAGGUCCCGAGCGUUGUCCGGAUUUAUUGGGCGUAAAGCGAGCGCAGGCGGUUUGAUAAGUCUGAAGUUAAAGGCUGUGGCUCAACCAUAGUUCGCUUUGGAAACUGUCAAACUUGAGUGCAGAAGGGGAGAGUGGAAUUCCAUGUGUAGCGGUGAAAUGCGUAGAUAUAUGGAGGAACACCGGUGGCGAAAGCGGCUCUCUGGUCUGUAACUGACGCUGAGGCUCGAAAGCGUGGGGAGCGAACAGGAUUAGAUACCCUGGUAGUCCACGCCGUAAACGAUGAGUGCUAGGUGUUGGAUCCUUUCCGGGAUUCAGUGCCGCAGCUAACGCAUUAAGCACUCCGCCUGGGGAGUACGACCGCAAGGUUGAAACUCAAAGGAAUUGACGGGGGCCCGCACAAGCGGUGGAGCAUGUGGUUUAAUUCGAAGCAACGCGAAGAACCUUACCAGGUCUUGACAUCCCGAUGCUAUUUCUAGAGAUAGAAAGUUACUUCGGUACAUCGGUGACAGGUGGUGCAUGGUUGUCGUCAGCUCGUGUCGUGAGAUGUUGGGUUAAGUCCCGCACGAGCGCACCCCUAAUUGUUAGCUGCAUUCAUCAGUGGUCACCUCUAGCGAGACUGCCCGGCUAAUUAAACCAG